rnacentral:antisense_RNA from 1 species
CGGGGGGGGGUCUUCACACAGGCAGGUCCUGGAGGGAAGGAGGCCACCACGCCCACCUCCCAUCCGAAGGCACAGCACCGCAGUGGUGGCCUGUGCCAGACAAGGGGGUGAGGGAUGGAAUGUCCUAGUGGAAAAGAAAGAACAUGUGAGUGCUUUUGAAAACACAGCAAGAGGACUUGACCACAAGCUAAAGGAAAAAAAACCCUAUAUAGUUUCAUCGAGUGAGAAAAAUAAUGCCAAACAAAAUAAUUUUAUGUAACUACCUC